GCAAGUCGAACGCGAAACUCCCUUCGGGGAAUGUAGAGUGGCGCACGGGUGAGUAACACGUAGGCAAUCUACCCUCCAGCGGGGGACAACUGUUCGAAAGGACAGCUAAUACCGCAUAAGACCACAGUGCCUGCGGGUACAGUGGUAAAAGGUGGCCUCUUCUUGAAAGCUACCACUGGAGGAUGAGCCUGCGCACCAUCAGCUUGUUGGUGGGGUAACGGCCUACCAAGGCUUAGACGGUUAGCUGGUCUGAGAGGAUGACC
rnacentral:rRNA from 1 species